UCUCUCAGUUUGCAUAAUAAGCUUUGUCUUCAAACUCUUUCACAACUCAAAAAUUGCAAAGGUGUCCAGUUUUUCAGUAUUAAACUUGACAAAUCUUAUAGUUUUCAUGAGUUAGGUUUAGCAUUAGUUAUAAGAUGAAGCAUUUCAGCAGGCAACACUUGGUUCUCCUAUGAGAUACAAGAAGCAUUUCAGCAGGCAACACUUGGUUCUCCUAUGAGAUACAACCUUCAAAAAUUGUUUCAUGCCUCAGGAAUCAGUACAGAUCUUGACAUUACUGACACCCUAAGAAACCUGAAAACACAUAAAUUUUUCCUCACACAGCAUAGCAAAGACUUGACUCUUGACACCAAGCACUGAAGACAAACACAGGGGGCGGCGGGGGGUCAGUAUGACCUCUCUACCUGCCUUAAAAAUACCCUAAUUUCAGCGUACACAGCAUGGGGACAGUGAAAGCCCCCUAAAGACACCACACUCUUGCAGGCACCACUUUGAAGGCCCAGACAAGAGGAACAGUUGUACCUCUUCACCUCCCUGGCAGCCUGGCUCAUCUGCAUCUGGAGGCCCCACAACAAUGUGACCACCCAAACUCCACUGUGUCAGCCAUUUGUGACCAGCUUAGGCACCUGCCUCUCCUUACCCUAGUGGUGGUGGUGGUGGUGGUGGUGACGUGGAGGAUGAGACGGGCAGUGCCGGACAAGGUGGAGGAGGAGGUGGCGGCGGCGGAGUACAGGGAGCGAGAGGAAGGGGAGGAGGAGAACGAUUUACGUGUGAACGACCUCAGGGAUUUGAAUGAACAGAAGACACACACAACUGAGCAGACGCAGGAGCACCGAGGGAGGGCCUCCACGGACAAGCACCUGGUUAGCCUGCACUGGGAAAUCACCUGCAGUCUGUAGAAGAUUGUCCCCUGGGAAAAGUACCUAAUCUGCCACUAGAACCAUUAAAACACCCUUAAAACCUGUGUCAUUUUAACUAGAGGCUUUUGAAAGUAAUGGAGCUCCUCAAGAGUGUUUCUCCUGUUAAUAAUGUAGAAAUAUUGCUAAUCUGUUACUAGAACCAUUAAAAUUCCCUUAAAAUUUUGUGUCCCUUCAACUAGAGGCUUUUGAAAGUAAUGCAGGUUCUCAAGAGUGUUUCUCCUGUUAAUAAUGUAGAAAUAUUGCUAAUCUGUCACUAGAACCAUUAAAAUUCCCUUAAAAACCUGUGCCACAUUAACCAGAGCCUUUUGAAAGUAAUGGAGGUUUUCAAGAACGUUUCUACUGUUAAUAAUGUAGAAAUAUUGUUAAUCUCACUAGAACCAUUAAAAUUCCCUUAAAAACCUGUCACUUUAACCAGAGCCUUUGGAAAGUAAAGGAGAUUCUCAAGUGUGU